GGAAUGUAGCUCAGUUGGUAGAGUGCUUGCUUUGCAUUCACAAGGCCCUGGGUUCAGUCCUCAGCACCA
rnacentral:tRNA from 1 species